rnacentral:rRNA from 1 species
GAAGACUAACUACUGCGAAAGCAUUCGCCAAGGAUGUUUUCAUUAAUCAGGGAACGAAAGUUAGGGGAUCGAAGACGAUCAGAUACCGUCGUAGUCUUAACCAUAAACUAUGCCGACUAGGGAUCGGGCGGCGUUUCUUUUAUGACCCGCUCGGCACCUUACGAGAAAUCAAAGUUUUUGGGUUCUGGGGGGAGUAUGGUCGCAAGGCUGAAACUUAAAGAAAUUGACGGAAGGGCACCACAAGGCGUGGAGCCUGCGGCUUAAUUUGACU